UAACACUGUGCCCUUACAUCUCACGACUGUUUUGAACACUGGAUGAGAAAAUACAGAUCGGACGCAGCAACUGGAGCUCGAUCACUAUCGCCGCUCUUCGGCAAGAUGUCGCCGGCGUCCGGGACCCUGCUGCAGCCGGAGGCGAAGGCACCGCCCCACUGGGAGUCGACACCUCCCCGUGCGCCUGGCCCGCGCCCCAGCUUCGGCUCUGGCGGAGGAAGCCCCCCCACACACACCAUUCUCCCGAGAUGGGCCUGGUGUUGAGAGGGACCCAUGCCCAGGAGCCACCCGACCCUCCAAGCUGUGGCCUUGCACGUGUCCCUAAAAAGGCUCCUGGCCUGUCUCUUCCUCUGUGCUCGGAACACCUGUUACUCUGGCUUUCAGCUCAUCUUUCUUUUUGAAUCAACACACUAACGUGUGUUAAAAUACAAAUCAAAACCUUGCUCUCUGCUCAGGGUC
rnacentral:lncRNA from 1 species